GGCGAUCGGGUGAGUAACACGUGGGUGAUCUGCCCUGCACUUCGGGAUAAGCCUGGGAAACUGGGUCUAAUACCGGAUAGGAGCCAUUUUUAGUGUGAUGGUUGGAAAGUUUUUCGGUGUAGGAUGAGCUCGCGGCCUAUCAGCUUGUUGGUGGGGUAAUGGCCUACCAAGGCGGCGACGGGUAGCCGGCCUGAGAGGGUGGACGGCCACAUUGGGACUGAGAUACGGCCCAG
rnacentral:rRNA from 1 species